GGAGCCGCAUUGGGGACAUGGGGUAGAAUUUUUUUUUGUACGAUCCCUUUUUUUUGGUGCAAGAUUUUUUUUUGUGGUGCAAGAUUUUUUUUUGUGAUGCAAGAUUUUUUUUUCGGGUGCAAGAUUUUUUUUUUGUGGUGCAAGAUUUUUUUUUCGGGUGCAAGAUUUUUUUUGUGGUGCAAGAUUUUUUUUCGGGUGCAAGAUUUUUUUUUGUGGUGCAAGAUUUUUUUUUCGGGUGCAAGAUAUUUUUUCGGGUGCAAGAUCUUUUUUGUGGUGCAAGAUUUUUUUUCGGGUGCGAGAUUUUUUUUGUGGUGCAAGAUUUUUUUUUCGGGUGCAAGAUUUUGUUUUUCGGGUGCAAGAUUUUUUUGUUCGGGUGCAAGAUUAUUUUUUCGGGUGCAAUAUUUUUUAGUGCCAUAUCACGCGAUUCGAUUGGCAGAUAAAGGUUUACCUAUUAUGUGAGAAUCAUGAGAGUUUUUUGUC